rnacentral:misc_RNA from 1 species
CGUUAAACAGCAAGAUGGUUUUUCCAGGAAAAGAGAGAAAACAAACCUAAACGCCACGGACUAGAACAUGUCCUUCCAAGCAUCUUGUUGAGAAUCAGUGAGAAAUCUAUUUCACCAUGCUUCUUACCCUCAGUUGAAAAUCAAUAAUUUAGGAACAAGAGGUCACCAAUGCUGGUGAAUAAAGUUUCAAGGCAUGCAUGACUCAUGAAUGAUCGACUGUUAUCACAAGCGACAAGCAGCAGAAGCAUCCUAUACUGUG